rnacentral:tmRNA from 1 species
GGGGCUGCACUGGUUUCGACGGGGAUAGUGAGGCUGGAUAAGCGGGCAGAGGCGCCUGACCUCUAUAAAAUGGGCAACUUUUUUAAAUUAACUGACAACGAUAACUUCGUUCUGGCUGCUGCUUAAUUAGCGGCCCAUCCUCCCCGGAAGGACCACGAGCCGGGCUAGGGUGUGAUUUGAGUGGUGACCGUGCGUGCGGUAAGCUUUGCCCGUACCAUGAAUCAUGAAGCUACCAAGUCAUGGAGUGUGUUUGUUCACGCCAUGGCAAGGGAAUGUAAAUAACAAACUGCGCCCGGAGAAAGUCUUGUCAAGUUAUUUUCGGACAGGGGUUCGAUUCCCCUCAGCUCCACCA